UCUCUCUCUCCCUCUCUCUGUCUCACUAUGUAAAUUUCUUAGCUUAUCAUCGCUGGUUUCGCCUAUUUUCUGAUUUCAGAUACGUAAACUUUUUCGGUUUUCAAAAUCAAACAGACUCGCAGAGGUACUCUCUCUCCCAUUUUAAAAUGUUUCAUUUCUGAAAUCUCUAGGGUUUUGGUUAGUUUAGCUCCCUUUUGCUUCUUGUUUCCUUUAGAUAACAAUUAAAUUUUUUUGAAAUUUAUAAUUUUUACUUGUAGAUCUGUUUCGUUUGGAGAUCUUUUCAUGAUAUUAGCUCCGUAUUUUCUUAGUGCAUUAGGUCUUCGUGCGCGUUCUCUCUCUUGGCUCUUGUUUGGGUUUGUUGCUUUUUAUUGUUUUCCCUUUCAUUUCUUAUGCUGUAUUUCUGGUGGCAACUUUUUUACAAUGGUAACUUUUCUGUUGAUACGCUGGAGAUGUCCUAUACUUUGUUGUGGCAGUUGAGAUUCGAUUGUUUUCUUUCUAUGUGUCACUAAGCAUAGAUUGAUGUUUGCAGAUUUAGUUAAGAGCGUCAGAUUUUGAUGGAAUUAAUCUCAGGGACAAACAGUGGUCUACCCAUGAAAUAAAAUUAAUGGUGGUACAUAACUGUAUUCAAAGAAACACUUAAUCAAAGAAAUAAAAUAUAGCAUUCCUUUUUCUUGGACAAAUGGAUUAAUGUUGGUGGAGUUCAAUCGACAGCAACCCUUAUGCACAUUUAAUUAUGUUUUUAAAAUAUUUUCAUCACUCUUCUUUUUGAAUUAUUCUGGUUGCUUUUACUACCAUUUUGAGCUUUAUUGUGUUUCUGGCAAUCUUUUAACUUUGAUGAUUCACAUAACUGCAGUUGAGGACCAGGAUCUAUAUCGCUGAAGCUGACCCCAAUUAGGUUGUUUAUCUUGCAAUGGAUGCUGCAACAAUGAAGUCACAACACCGACCGUUUUCAAUUAAAUUAUGGCCACCUAGCCAAAACACAAGGCAAAUGCUUGUGACUCGUAUUACAGGAAAUCUCACUACUAAGUCAAUUUUCACCGAGAAGUAUGGCACUCUGAAUAAAGAGGAGGCUGAGGAGAAUGCAAAGAGAAUUGAAGAUGUUGCUUUUGUCACUGCAAACCAACAUUAUGAAAUGGAGCCAGAUGGUGAUGGAGGGUCUGCUGUGCAGCUAUAUGCAAAGGAGUGUAGUAAGCUAAUUUUGGAAGUUCUCAAAAGAGGUCCUGCGCAAAAGGAGGACAGAGAAGUCCUGGUAUCUGAAGAAGCUGCUGCAUACCAUAAUAAAGUUUUUGAUAUAUCUAAAGGCCCAAGAGCCUUUAUUGAUGCAACAGAGGCUGUGGAUAUACUUAGGCCAUUAAAGGAGCCAGGGAAUUCAUAUACUAAGAUAUGCUUCAGUAAUAGAAGCUUUGGUCUAGAAGCUGCCCGUGUUGCUCAGCCCAUUUUAGUUUCCAUCAAGGAUCAAUUGAAGGAAGUUGAUUUGUCGGAUUUUAUUGCUGGAAGACCAGAAGCAGAAGCUCUUGAUGUUAUGAAUAUAUUUUCUUCUGCUCUGGAAGGUAGCAUCCUGAAGUCCUUAGACCUCUCAAACAAUGCCUUGGGGGAGAAGGGUGUGAGGGCCUUUGGGGCACUACUUCAAUCACAAAGUUGCUUGGAGGAGCUUUAUCUAAUGAAUGAUGGCAUUUCAGAGGAAGCUGCACGAGCAGUUUGUGAAUUGAUUCCUUCCACAGAGAAGCUUAGGAUCCUUCAUUUCCAUAAUAAUAUGACAGGAGAUCCAGGGGCUCUUGCCAUUUCUGAGGUUCUGAAACGUUCUCCCUUACUGGAAGAUUUUCGAUGCUCUUCCACAAGAAUAGGCACAGCAGGAGGAAUUGCCUUGUCAGAAGCGCUCAAGACUUGCAUUCAUUUGAAGAAGCUAGACCUGCGAGACAAUAUGUUUGGUGCAGAAGCUGGAGUUGCUCUGGGUAAAGCUCUUUACAAGCAUGCUGGUCUGACUGAGGUUUAUUUAAGUUAUCUGAAUUUGGAAGAUGAGGGUGCUGUUGCCAUAGCAAAUUCUCUCAAGGAAACAGCUCCUGCGCUUGAAGUAUUGGAAAUGGCUGGAAAUGACGUAACAGUUGAAGCUGCUCCUACUGUGUCUGCUUGCAUAGCAGUGAAGCAGAAUCUGAGAAAGUUGAACUUGGCUGAAAAUGAGCUGAAGGAUGAAGGUGCUAUCCAAAUUAGCAAGGCCUUGGAAGAAGGCCACCUUCAGUUGAAUGAAGUUGAUAUGAGCAACAACUCCAUAGGAAGGGCUCGGAGUUGGGUCUUGUCACAAGUUGUGGUAUAGAAGCCCGAGUUUAAAUUGCUGAAUAUAAAUGGGAAUUUCAUCUCUGAUGAAGGCAUUGAUGAGGUGAAGGAAAUUUUUAAGAAAUUCCCGGGCAUGCUUGGGCCCUUGGAUGAGAAUAGUCCUGAAGGAUGUGAUGAUGAAGAAGAAUAUGGAGAGGAUCAGGAUGAUGGUGAUCAGCAUGACUUGGAAUCCAAACUGAAUAAACUUGAAGUUAAUGAAGAGGAUUAAAGGUUUUCUUAUUCUGGACAAGUUUCAUGGGGUUCUAUUCUAGUAGUAAUCCCGGGUAGAUAAUUAUGCAGGACAUGUUCACAGAAUUUUGGACCGACUGUUCUGUGCAAUCUUGGAAUGCUGAGCAGAGCAGUGGCUGUGAGCUGCAAUUGAAAUUAGUAGGAUCUUUCCAUCAUCUUUUUUUCAUUAGCCAUUUAUCUUGUUUUGGUUAGUGCGGCAACAAGAUUCUGUAGUAGGUUUUAAUAAUGCUAGUACUUCAUUUUCUUAAAAAAAAUUUAUAUUUUCAUAUAAUUUACUGUUUCUUGAUUUUUACAUUUUAAAUUCAUGGUAUGUUAGAGGCUUGACAGUAGAGACAAUGCGGGAUUUUGAAACAUUUCUACUGAGCAUCAGUCAUCACUUGUAGUAUGUUGAUUCUUUGUUCUUACGGAUUAAGGAUGAAUGAGAAUCUGAGACUCUGAAAGAUGUAAUUAGAGUUAGCUAUGAUCAUACUUCCGACUUUCUAGAAUGGCGGUCACUGUUUCGAGUACUUCCAUCUCAUUUUCUGCGU
rnacentral:misc_RNA from 1 species